rnacentral:rRNA from 1 species
GACGAACGCUGGCGGCGUGCUUAACACAUGCAAGUCGAACGAUGACGACCGAGCUUGCUCGGUCUGAUUAGUGGCGAACGGGUGAGUAACACGUGAGCAACCUGCCCUUCACUCUGGGAUAACCUCGGGAAAUCGGGGCUAAUGCCGGAUAUGAGCUCCUGUCGCAUGGCGGGUGUUGGAAAGUUUUUCGGUGAAGGAUGGGCUCGCGGCCUAUCAGUUUGUUGGUGAGGUAGUGGCUCACCAAGGCGAUGACGGGUAGCCGGCCUGAGAGGGCGACCGGCCACACUGGGACUGAGACACGGCCCAGACUCCUACGGGAGGCAGCAGUGGGGAAUAUUGCACAAUGGGCGAAAGCCUGAUGCAGCGACGCCGCGUGAGGGAUGACGGCCUUCGGGUUGUAAACCUCUUUCAGCAGGGAAGAAGCGAAAGUGACGGUACCUGCAGAAGAAGCGCCGGCUAACUACGUG